GUUCAUCCUUCGGUCGCUCGGUCGCAGUCGCACCGCCGUCAACGACAACAACAUCCGCGCGAGGAUCACGCCCGUCCCUCCUUCCUCCGAUCCGAUCUCACCAGAGCGAGAUGGGUGGACGCGGAGGUCGCGGAGGUCCCGGGGGCCGGGGCGGCGGCCGGGCGGCAGGGGCAACGCCGCUGGCCAGGGAGGGCCAGUGGCAGCUCCCGUCAUCUACUGGUUCUGCGAGCACUGCGGGGAUCUGCGCCAUGACAAUCAAGCACGUCACCUCGUGAACCACAUCUACAUGGAACACCAGGAAACCCAGCAGCGCCUCCGCCAGCUGCAGGCGCGUGAGGCGUAUCAGCGAGCCCAUGGUGGCUCGAAGAAGAGGGGCAACCGCCGCCGCCACUGAAUGAAGGUAGAAGACUAAGUAACACUACUGAAGUCACCUGCGCAAAUCUUCCAGCAUUAUCAAUCUUAUUUCCGCAUUUUCUUUCUGCAAAUAAAUAGCUAUAUCAGACUCCCCUGCGGCAAGCUCUUGCAAGACCAAUGUUAUUUCUGUAAUUUUUCUUCUGUGCACAAAUAGUGAGACAAUAUGAGUUUAUAUCAGUGAGACUGAAUUACGAUGAGCGAGAUAAAGCAAAGUUGUUUGCUGCGAUUUGUGUUUGACUGCCUGUUUUGAACCUAUAGUAUGAUGAUGGAACCUGGUUAUGCUGAUUCUGUGUCGAGAUCAGGAAAGUGUUUUUCUAUGGCUUGUGUUUGAUUUAUGUUGAAUGACAGCAGCCUGUGAGAAAGGAUAAGAUGCCAACUGCAUGCUUUAAGUCACUAGGGGCUGGGUAAAUCUAGAAUAAUCCUGAUUGUCAGCUUGAUGCUAUCUAAAACAGCUAUGAUCCUUAGCUUGACAGAGGCUUCAGAAAGUUU
rnacentral:rRNA from 1 species